GGUGCUUGCACCUGAUUGACGAUGGAUCACCAGUGAGUGGCGGACGGGUGAGUAACACGUAGGUAACCUGCCCCGGAGCGGGGGAUAACAUUUGGAAACAGAUGCUAAUACCGCAUAACAACAAAAGCCACAUGGCUUUUGUUUGAAAGAUGGCUUUGGCUAUCACUCUGGGAUGGACCUGCGGUGCAUUAGCUAGUUGGUAAGGUAACGGCUUACCAAGGCGAUGAUGCAUAGCCGAGUUGAGAGACUGAUCGGCCACAAUGGAACUGAGACACGGUCCAUACUCCUACGGGAGGCAGCAGUAGGGAAUCUUCCACAAUGGGCGCAAGCCUGAUGGAGCAACACCGCGUGAGUGAAGAAGGGUUUCGGCUCGUAAAGCUCUGUUGUUGGAGAAGAACGUGCGUGAGAGUAACUGUUCACGCAGUGACGGUAUCCAACCAGAAAGUCACGGCUAACUACGUGCCAGCAGCCGCGGUAAUACGUAGGUGGCAAGCGUUAUCCGGAUUUAUUGGGCGUAAAGCGAGCGCAGGCGGUUGCUUAGGUCUGAUGUGAAAGCCUUCGGCUUAACCGAAGAAGUGCAUCGGAAACCGGGCGACUUGAGUGCAGAAGAGGACAGUGGAACUCCAUGUGUAGCGGUGGAAUGCGUAGAUAUAUGGAAGAACACCAGUGGCGAAGGCGGCUGUCUGGUCUGCAACUGACGCUGAGGCUCGAAAGCAUGGGUAGCGAACAGGAUUAGAUACCCUGGUAGUCCAUGCCGUAAACGAUGAGUGCUAGGUGUUGGAGGGUUUCCGCCCUUCAGUGCCGGAGCUAACGCAUUAAGCACUCCGCCUGGGGAGUACGACCGCAAGGUUGAAACUCAAAGGAAUUGACGGGGGCCCGCACAAGCGGUGGAGCAUGUGGUUUAAUUCGAAGCUACGCGAAGAACCUUACCAGGUCUUGACAUCUUGCGCUAACCUUAGAGAUAAGGCGUUCCCUUCGGGGACGCAAUGACAGGUGGUGCAUGGUCGUCGUCAGCUCGUGUCGUGAGAUGUUGGGUUAAGUCCCGCAACGAGCGCAACCCUUGUUACUAGUUGCCAGCAUUAAGUUGGGCACUCUAGUGAGACUGCCGGUGACAAACCGGAGGAAGGUGGGGACGACGUCAGAUCAUCAUGCCCCUUAUGACCUGGGCUACACACGUGCUACAAUGGACGGUACAACGAGUCGCAAGCUCGCGAGAGUAAGCUAAUCUCUUAAAGCCGUUCUCAGUUCGGACUGUAGGCUGCAACUCGCCUACACGAAGUCGGAAUCGCUAGUAAUCGCGGAUCAGCAUGCCGCGGUGAAUACGUUCCCGGGCCUUGUACACACCGCCCGUCACACCAUGGGAGUUUGUAACGCCCAAAGUCGGUGGC
rnacentral:rRNA from 1 species